rnacentral:rRNA from 1 species
CAGCAGCCGCGGGAAUACGUAGGGUGCUAGCGUUGUUCGGAAUUACUGGGCGUAAAGCGUGCGCAGGCGGUUCGUUAAGACAGAUGUGAAAUCCCCGGGCUUAACCUGGGAACUGCAUUUGUGACUGGCGAGCUAGAGUAUGGCAGAGGGGGGUAGAAUUCCACGUGUAGCAGUGAAAUGCGUAGAGAUGUGGAGGAAUACCGAUGGCGAAGGCAGCCCCCUGGGCCAAUACUGACGCUCAUGCACGAAAGCGUGGGGAGCAAACAGGAUUAGAUACCCCCGUAGUCCCUGUCUCUUAUAA